AGGCUGGGCACCAAUUUUCUGUUGACUGCUCAUGUUUAUUUUACUCAUUUUUUUGUAUGUGCUUAUGUUCUACACAAACAAAGUGCACACGCUUUUUUUAUCAGUUUGACCAACGUGUGUUACUCGUUGAGCUCACACGGAUGAACCGAGGUCAAAAUUAAACUAGUCAAGUGGUUAAACGACCUGGAUUAUACACACGAUCACAUGAAGACUAAAAUGAUCGCGUGAACGCCAUCGGAGGACAAUUCUGGCAUGUGAGUCUUCGUGGAUGCAAUGCGUCAGACAGAUAUGGCCCCGCGCUUUCUCUAUAUUUUCGUCUUACUGCGAAGAAAGCGGAAAUGACGAUCGGUCCGCCAUGAUAUCUACGUCAUCAGCCUUCACCCUGUGACCCGGGAAUUACGCCUGCUUUCACAGAUGUCGCAUCCCGGCAGUGUACCGCGCCUCUCUGACUUGGAUGUCUUUGGGAAAUGUGCAUCUGCAUCGCCUGUCACUCUCUGGGAGGCAUGCCAAGCACCGCUUGAUUGACGUCCGAAUCGGCUUGCCAUGAAGGGACCGUCUUGCAUAGUUCAGUGACCAACAUAUGUACGCGGGGGGGAAAAAGGACAUUUGUGGGCAAAGUGUGAUGUGAGUGAAUCA